CCCCUAGACGUUCUGGGCUGCACGCGCGCUACAAUAAUACGCACAGCGAGUAUCACCGAGCUCGAAAGGGCAAGGUAAAAAAUAGAAAAGGUACUGUAAUGGUUAUAGAUCCUUGUAAUUAUUGAUCUUCAACGAGGAAUUCCUAGUAAGUAUGUGUCAUCAUCACGCACUGAUUACGUCCCUGCCCUUUGUACACACCGCCCGUCGCUCCUACCGAUUGGGUGAGCCGAUGAAACUCUCGGAUGUAGGCUAUUCAUAGCCCGCAGAAGAGAUUUGAAUCGUAGCGCUUAGAGGAAGGAGAAGUCGUAACA
rnacentral:rRNA from 1 species